UGGAUUAAGAGCUUGCUCUUAUGAAGUUAGCGGCGGACGGGUGAGUAACACGUGGGUAACCUGCCCAUAAGACUGGGAUAACUCCGGGAAACCGGGGCUAAUACCGGAUAACAUUUUGAACCGCAUGGUUCGAAAUUGAAAGGCGGCUUCGGCUGUCACUUAUGGAUGGACCCGCGUCGCAUUAGCUAGUUGGUGAGGUAACGGCUCACCAAGGCAACGAUGCGUAGCCGACCUGAGAGGGUGAUCGGCCACACUGGGACUGAGACACGGCCCAGACUCCUACGGGAGGCAGCAGUAGGGAAUCUUCCGCAAUGGACGAAAGUCUGACGGAGCAACGCCGCGUGAGUGAUGAAGGCUUUCGGGUCGUAAAACUCUGUUGUUAGGGAAGAACAAGUGCUAGUUGAAUAAGCUGGCACCUUGACGGUACCUAACCAGAAAGCCACGGCUAACUACGUGCCAGCAGCCGCGGUAAUACGUAGGUGGCAAGCGUUAUCCGGAAUUAUUGGGCGUAAAGCGCGCGCAGGUGGUUUCUUAAGUCUGAUGUGAAAGCCCACGGCUCAACCGUGGAGGGUCAUU
rnacentral:rRNA from 1 species